UAUCGGGUAUCUAGUAGCAAUAACUUUACUUUCAUUGUAUCUCAUAAAAUACCCGGAUCUAAUUGUUGCAAAUCAAAGAGAGCGUAAAUCCUAGAGACAAAAAGAAAUCCGCAGAAAGAGGUACGAAUAAAAAAAAGAAAAAAAGGCAAGGAAGCAUACAGCGACGGAUAGCGGAGAAAAGACAUAGGACGCUCGAAUACCGACGACUAAGUACGAACUUGGAAAAGCACACGGUACUAUCGAUGGGUCUCGGUCGCGGUAUAUAAAUAUAUCCGCAACGAACGAAGAAACAAAUAGAACCGAAGGCAGGGAACAAGAGAGAGAGGAAACAAGGAUCGCGUUGGUCACCGUUACUACAUGGUCGUGGCGGGGUUCACCAGGCAUCGAAGUAGCGUAUACUCACGCGCGUUCACCAGGACCACAAUGCUAUCUCCUCGGUGGGAUCAAAUUGUCGAAGAAGGAACGAGCAUAUUUCGCGUGACCCCGCGGUAAAAGCGCAGCAACGCGAGCUGCGCGGCUCAAUUCCUCUGAAAUACCUCGAUAUAUUUGUCGCUGUUCCUGCCGCAUGCUCGCUGUGUAUAUACAGAGAUGCAACCCUUCACCCUUAUCCCCCUUCCUUCCUCCCUCGCUCGUAGUUCCUCUCAUGGUUCCUCUCGAUUCACGAUGCAGGCUGCUCUCCGCCGCAUUCUUCCAAGUAUAAAUCUCAAGGGAAUGCAACGCGUGGUUUAUCUGCGCUAUGGACCUGCGCUCUUGGCCAGUGUUACAGAUAUCCAGCUUGGUCAAGAACAGCGUCGAUACACUCGAUUUUAGGAGAAUUUGUCGAUCGAGUGGAUAAUUCACAGACAGAAAUGGAAUUUCGUGGAAAAAUUCUCGUGGUUAACUAACACUACGAGAUGCCAUUCGCCAACAAGGACCAUUUUGCUAAUCGACGAGCAAAUAAAAUCUUCAAAGUACCAUUCUAACUCGUCGUUCCAAUCUAGCCGAGAGAAAUCGAGACAUUUCCUGGCUGGUAAUUAAAUAAAUCAUCGGCGUGCAAGCAAUCGGAAGCAUCUUUCGGCGCGCGGUGCCCGGUCGGCUGCCGACACCUCCUCGACAACGGCGCAUACUUCCUCAGCUGAGACGCGAUAUAUACGUCGCGAUAUGUAUCUGCCGUAAACCCAUACUUAACAGCGUGUCGAGCCGCUCGUUCUCGCAGCAUCGUGUCCUCUCUUCCACCUUCCACACUCCUCCAUUCCAACCUCCGCGUCUCGUCUCUUUCCCUCUCAUUUCUAUCCUCUUUCCUCUUCUCUUUCUUUCUUUCCUCUUCCUCCAAUUCUCCCUUUUUCUCAACCGCGAAACGUCUCGGCUAUCCGCGCGGGUACGUUUCUCUCUUUCUUCCUUCCUUUCACCGUACGUUUCAACGUGCAUUAAAAUUCGCCGACAACCCUCGCGGCCGUUCCACUGCUCGCAGCGACGAAUUUCAAUUCCUCGCGAUUUCGUGGCUGCGAAACGGCCGACGGCCAUUUGCAUGAUAAUUGCCGCGCGGUCUAGCCUGGAUCACCCGACCACGCUGCUCCAGAUACGCAACCGACAACCGUUUCUAUCGGUCGCGAUAGAUUCGAGAGACGCGAACGGUCUUGCACGGUUCGCGGUUUCGAUGCGUGUGUCGAUAGUCGGCUGCGCGGAACGGAUGAAUGUCAACGCUGAGCGCCAUCGGACCUCUGUCGUUUUAACUGAACGCCUGGUCAAAUGAGCGGUUUGAAAAUUUGAUUUAAAAUUCUACAUUCUUUCGUUCGUUUAGCUCUUCACUAAAAAAAAAUCUAAUUUUUUUUUUUGUUAUCCAAAAGUUAUUUUGUGCGUUGUUGCUUGUAUGAAAUUGAACAAUCACCUGUAUUCCUUUCGCAAAAAAACUUGAUCGAUAUAAUUUCUUUUUCUUGUUAUCCGAAAGUUAUUUUGUGCCUGUAUGAAAUUGACAAUUAUCUGUAUUCCUUUCGUAAAAAGAGCUGAUCGAUUGCAACUUACUCAUGGUUGUACUAGCCGUACUAUUAAGUUUGGCUUCUGGGUAUUCAAAGGUGUAUAUAAUCUCACAGAAGGGCUGGACUGUGUACUUGUCUAACCGAAAGUGAAAUUUUGACGUAUAAACGAGACGAAUAUUUUAACUCGCGAAAAACUUUAAAGAUUUUGAUUGUGGUAAAAGUUGUGACGUGAAAAUUAUAAUGUUUCCUGAUUAGUUGAAAAUUAUAACGUUUCUGAUUACCAAAUUUUAUAUAAUUAUGUCUUUCUAACGUGAUAUCGUUCAAAUUGCUUUAAAUUUAAAUCAAUCAUCAACGUGCAUUGCAGGUUUGCUAAAACAAGUAUAAUAUACAAGAGUUAAUGAUACCUAAAUAGUUUCUGGAAAAAUAAUAUCCUCCACCAUUUUUUCAACUUUCGUGAAAAGCAGCAAGAAGCCUAGUUUACAUGAUCAAUAUUAAUUAAGGACUGUCUUGAGAAACUUUUUUUUUUUAAACCCUUUUGUUCUUACGUGGUUAUUAUAGCUUUCACUCUAGGUUAUUAUAUUAUUUCACGUUUGUUCAGACAUAUUAUUAUACAUCGCAUCGUACAACACCAAAUGUAUACGUUCGUUAUAAUUAUCAGCAAAUUAUAAAAGAAGAAAGUCCAAGCUGUUGACUAGAUCUAAGUACGAUGUUCCCUCAGAAGGGACAAUCGAGUGCAAAGGGUUAAUAUUCUUGCGCUAAUAGUAGGAACAGGCAUGUAUAAAGUGCCGGACUGUUUAGUGUUAAUUUCGAGGGACGAUACGCCAAGUAUCAGUUUACCUGGACGAUAAGAGACGCAAAGAAAAAGGGACGUACAUACGUGUCCCAUGUACAGGAAGAACACGCAUUGUCUGCGUGUUUGAUUUACGAGGGGACGCCGUUUCCGCGUCAUAGAGUCGUUUCGCCGCGAAAUAAGUUAAACAAGUACACGACCUGACCCUUCACCCAUGAGUUAUUGCACGCCGUGCCGAAUUGAACGGUCGCUACGUGUCUUCCGGAGGAGACGCUUGCGCCGGCAGCUGCGCCCGCAAACGACGCGGAGGACGCGCACGAACAAAGAGAACGCAUUAUGCCAUACGAUGCUCGUUAAGGCCGCCGGUUUAUCCAACCCGGCGAAACUUUGCGAAAUGCCAAUAAUUGGCGCAAAAAUGCCGAGUUAUCUUAGUGCAGUGGCUGCACCUGUCGCCGUGUAGCCGAGGCAGGCCAGCGUGCAUGCAAAUGCGAGGCCCGCUCGCAUACCAGAGAUUGAUAUCUGCAAUAAGUCGCCGCGUUCAAACGAGGGUGUAACCAACGAGCUGCACGGUUAACAAGCUAUUCUAAAUCGGAGAGGAGUACUACGCUUUCACGUGUCGUCGCCGGGUCAUACUCGCGGUUCGUGCUUUCCUCGCGAAGAACCAAGGGAGAGAGAAAAAGAGAAAGAGAGAGAGAGAAAUGAUGGGAAAAGAAGCGAUCGAAGAUCGGCGAGUCGAGGUUCAACGGGACGGCUUUACUCGAUAAGACUAUCGGCGGUGUUCAAGAAAUCUCGUUUGCGUGCGAGACGAAACGGCACGCGAGAAACGGCUCGGUGGAAUUCCGAGAGAGCUGGAAAUCGUGAAACGAAGUGGCGACAGGACACCGUGGAGAAAAGAGGGCGAGGGGGUGGAAGGAGAGGGACAUCCAUUUUGAUAACGAUUUACGAAGUCAGGACCGAACGUACACGUCGCUGGAUGCUGGAAAAUCGAGGCAAUUCUCUCGAGAGACGUCGGCAACAGUUCCAGAAAAGCCUGUCGAACAGGAGGGCACUCCGGUGGAAAGAGCGGGGAAAAUCAUCCCCUUUUUACCGCGAUAGGUUAGCCAGUGUCGGAGCAACGGACCGGACUGGAGAAAAGGAGCAGCAUUACCGGGGCGCCACGAGGAACGAAGGAAGGACAAAGCGUAAGAUCACGGAGAGCGGGCUAGAUAACCGGAGGGUGCUCCCGUUGGAACGGCUGGGAUACCUCCGCCUCGUCUCCGCAACGUCUCCGGCGCGUCCCCGCCGCGAGGAUGUGCCGGUAGGAAAGCUGGACAAAAGGCAGGCAACACAUGACGGAAUAGGAUCGAAGUAACCGGAUGAAGUUGGAAGAAGAGAUUUCUCGAAGAUAAAAUUAAUUUUUACGCAACUAUUGAUUUACUUUCUGUACUACUGUACAGAAAGUAAUGGUAAAUUUCACAAUUGUAUGAUAGUUACCAAUUAAUAAAAAGAGUACCAAAAUCAGUAUUGAU